GAGUUUGAUCAUGGCUCAGGAUAAACGCUAGUGCUUUGCAUAACACAUGUAAGUUGAACGAAAACUAAAACAAGUUACAGUGGCGGACGGGUGAAAAACGCGCGAAAAUCUACUUUUAGGGAGAAAAAAAACAAAAGGAAACGACUGCUAAGACUUCCUAGACCGCGAGGCGAAAAAAAAAUGAGAUUUGCCUUGAAAUGAGUUUGCGUCUGAUUAGCUUGUUGGAAUGGUAGCAGCAAACCAAGGCGAUAAUCAGUAGCUGGUCCGAGAGGGCGAUCAGCCACACUGGGACUGAGAUACGGCCCAGACUCCUGCGGGAGGCUGCAGUGAGGAAUAUUCCACAAUGGGCGAAAGCCUGAUGGAGCAAAAGUCCGUGGUGGAAUGACGGCCUGUGGGUUGUAAACACCUUUUUUCUGAACUUUUAAAGACAUACGACGAUAUUAGAAGAAUAAGCAUCGGCUAACUCUGUGCCAGCAGCCGCGGUAAUGCAGAGGAUGCAAGCGUAUCCAGAUUGAUUGGGCGUAAAGUGUCUCGAGGUGGACUUACCAAGUCUUGUGUUAAACCCUUUUAAGGCUCAACUUUAGCUCUGCAUAAGAAACUCGAAGAAUCGAAGCGAUAGGAGAGGCAACAAUUUUCGGUGUAGCAGUGAAAUGUGUAGAUAUCGGAAGGAAUACCGGAAGCGAAGGCGUGCCUCUUGGUCGUUAUUUACACUAAAAGACGAAAGUUAGGGUAGCAAAUGGGAUUAGAUACCCCAGUAGUCCUUGCCGUAAACGAUGAAAACUGGGUCUUACUAUUUAUGCUUAAUUCUACGCUAUGUAACUGGAGGAUUGAAGUUAACGCGUCAAGUUUUCCGCCUGGGAAGUACGUUCGCAAGAGUGAAACUCAAAAGGAAUUGACGGGGGCCUGCACAAGCGGUGGAGCAUGUGGUUUAAUUCGAUGCAACGCGAAGAACCUUACCAUGGUUUGCAUGCCUCUAAACAAUAGUGUCUGUGAAAUCAGGCUUAAAGGCGCAGGUGGUGCAUGGCUGUCGUCAGCUCGUGUCGUGAGAUGUUGGGUUAAGUUCCGCAACGGGCGCAACCCUUAUGUCUUGUUGUGAUUUCAGAUCUGGAGAAACUGCUGGUUAAAAACCAGAGGAAGGUGAGGAUGACGUCAAGUCAAUAUGCCCUAUAUACCUUGGGCGACACACGUGCUACAAUGAUUAAGACAGACCGUAACUAUUUUGCGAAGAAACGUUGAUCGGUAAAUUUGAUCUCAGUUCGGAUUCGUCUCUGAAACUCGAGGUGAUGAAGGCGGAAUCGCUAGUAAUCGCUGGUCAGCUAUACGGCGGUGAAUACGUUCCCAGGCCUUGUACACACCGCCCGUCACACCACGGAAAUUAGUUAUGCCCCAAGUCAUUCUUUUUUUUUUACAAAGAGUGCCAAAGGUAAAGCUAGUAACUGGGGUGAAGUCGUAACAAGGUAACC
rnacentral:rRNA from 1 species